rnacentral:lncRNA from 1 species
UAAGAGCUCAUGGCCAGAAUUGGUUGGAGUGGAAGGAAAGGUAGCAGAAGCUACAAUUGAGAGGGAGAAUCCAUUGGUGAAUGCCAUCAUUGUGCCAGAAGGAUCUGCUGUCAUCCUUGACUUUCGUUGUGAUAGGGUUUGGGUUUGGGUUGACAAAGAUGGAAUUGUCUUUAAGGUUCCAACAAUUGGAUAGAAAGUGUCAUGGAAUUGAACUUAUAUAUAUAUAUAUAUAUAUAUAUAUAUAUAUAUAUAUAUAUAUAUAUAUAUAUAUAUAUAUAUAUAUAUGCUCCAAGUCAUAAGUUUAAUGUUUCAAUAAGGAGCUAGUUUCUUUUUAAUUGUAUACUCAUAUAUACCCUCCUGUCAUUAUUAUAAGUAAAAAUUCACAUUUUAGGUACAUUCAAUAAAUUAUGAAUCAUACACUCUCUGGUCAUUAUUAUAAGAAAAAAUCUAAAUUUUAGGUUCAUUCAGUAAAUGAUGUAUGUGAUGUUUAAUAUAUGUCAUAUACAUUAUUUAUUGAAUGAAUCUCUAGUAUAGAUUUUUGUUUAUAAUAAUGACCAGAGAAGGGUGCAUGUAAUUUAAACAUACAUGUUAUGCGUUGCAAAUGCAUAUACAAAUAAUUUGUUUUUCAUUUUCUUUGUCAAGGAAAUAUAUGGUUCGGGCAUGCUCCAUUUAAGCUAAGCUCCAUUUACUCCAUUUAAGGUUUGGAUGUAAGGCAUGUGGCAAAAAAAAGUAUCUAAUGGUUAAGAUUUUAAACUAAAAAACAAUAAAAAGUUGUUGCGAUAUGAGAGAAGAAGGGAACAUGAUUUGUUUGUUAUUAUUAUGUAUUUUUAUUAAACAAAUAUUUAUUUUUUAAUUUAAAAUCUUAACCGUUAAUUUUUUUUUGCCACAUGUCUUACAUCUAAACCUUAAAUAAAGUAAAUUGAGCUUAGCCUAAAUGUAGCAUAUCCGAACUUAAAAUAUAUAUGAUACUAUACAAAUAUUGUCCUAUAAUAUCAUUUCAUAUGUUUUUGUUCUUGGUCCAUGUAUUUUUUAAAAAUAAAAAAUGAAGUUUCGGUUCCCAAUUAAAAAAUAUAUAUAUUUGGUUCUCCAAUUUUACAUUUUCCUGAAUUUCCCACCCUCAUCCAAUUUUAGGGUAAUUUUUGUUGACG